UCUUUUUCCUAUUUUCCUCCCCCGUUUUCUCUCUUCUCUCUCCUCGCCCCCGACACUUUCUUCUUUCUGGGCUUUCUUCCUCCGCCUGCAGCGCCGCCGUCCGUCGACGCCAAGCCGCCCCUGAGCCACCACAGCUUCGCCUCGACCUCUCCUAGCUGCUGGACGUGACCUUUUCCACCGGGACGGCUCAAUUCCGGCAGUUUUGAGCUGCAAGCUUUGAACCAUAAAAGGGUCAACGCCGGUUUUCUCCUAGCUCCGGCCACCAAAACUUCCGAUCCUUAGCUCUAUGAACUCGUCUCAACCUGCUGAUCAUCAUACCAGAAGGAUCGCACCUGGAGUGACCGGUUUCACGUUCGUCGGAGCUCGGCCGGUUUUCGAUCGAAAACCAAAACCUUUCGAUCGAGAUAUCUCGAGGUACAGACCAUCAUUUCUUGUGAUUCUUGAGCUGGUGAACUCAUAUUGAAGUUCUGAACAACUUUCAUGAAGGGAUCGAAGAUAUUUGUUGAAGUUUUUACGUCGGAAUUCAAGCUCGCCGGAUUCUGGGAUUUUUCCGGCCACCGAAGCUUUCGAUCAUGAUAUCUCGAUCUGUAGAGCUUCGUUUUUAGUGAUUCUUGAACCAGUGAGUUCGCCUUGAUGUUAUUAACAACUCUCCAGAAGGAAUCGAGGCCUGAAAGUGAAGUUUUUACGUCGAAAUCAAGCUCGCCGGUUCUGCAAAUUAUCGCCGGAUUCUGGAAAUUUGCCGGCCAACCCGACUGUUCAAGGUACUUGACGGUUUGAGUUGACGAGCGUUUGGAAUAUCGUUAUAUUUGACAUUUUAGAAGACGCAGCUGGAUUAGAGCGGGUAAUCUCACAGGUCAGGAGAAUCAGGGCAGUGAUCGUGCGGUUUAGAGUAUUAG